ensembl:snoRNA
UGGCCAUUACCAAGGUUUUUAGAAUGCAGUUCUCAAUGGCUAAGGACAUAACCAUAAAAAAAAUUUCCCACUAGGUUUUCUAUCUGCUACUCUGCUAGCACUCAGCCUAUUGGGGACAUUU